rnacentral:misc_RNA from 1 species
AAAUCUGGAGGGACUUCUCGACUGAAGCAAUCACUACAUCCACCUUAGCACGCCGCAAAAUAUCUGCAAUAGUUACUAGUUCAAUCCCUUGACAGCCAUUUGCAAUUGGGAUAAGAACACGAGGAGUAUGAUCAACAGACCAGUCAACUUUGUUGAAUUCUUCCUUUCGAGGACAGUCAUUCUCAGAAUCCAUCAGCAACAAUUCUCCAA